AUUGAACGCUGGCGGCAUGCUUUACACAUGCAAGUCGAACGGUAACAGGCCGCAAGGUGCUGACGAGUGGCGAACGGGUGAGUAAUGCAUCGGAACGUGCCCAGUCGUGGGGGAUAACGCAGCGAAAGCUGUGCUAAUACCGCAUACGAUCUGGGGAUGAAAGCGGGGGACCGAAAGGCCUCGCGCGAGUGGAGGGGGCGAUGUCAGAUUAGGUAGUUGGUGGGGUAAAGGCUCACCAAGCCAACGAUCUGUAGCUGGUCUGAGAGAGACGACCAGCCACACUGGGACUGAGACACGGCCCAGACUCCUACGGGAGGCAGCAGUGGGGAAUUUUGGACAAUGGGCGCAAGCCUGAUCCAGCAAUGCCGCGUGUGUGAAGAAGGCCUUCGGGUUGUAAAGCACUUUUGUCCGGAAAGAAAUGGCUCUGGUUAAUACCUGGAGUCGAUGACGGUACCGGAAGAAUAAGGACCGGCUAACUACGUGCCAGCCGCCGCGGUAAGAC
rnacentral:rRNA from 1 species